rnacentral:rRNA from 1 species
AACGAACGCUGGCGGCAGGCCUAACACAUGCAAGUCGAGCGAACCCUUCGGGGUUAGCGGCGGACGGGUUAGUAACGCGUGGGAAUAUGCCCAAAGGUACGGAAUAGCCUCGGGAAACUGAGAGUAAUACCGUAUGUGCCCUUCGGUGGAAAGAUUUAUCGCCUUUGGAUUAGCCCGCGUUGGAUUAGGUAGUUGGUGGGGUAAUGGCCUACCAAGCCGACGAUCCAUAGCUGGUUUGAGAGGAUGAUCAGCAACACUGGGACUGAGACACGGCCCAGACUCCUACGGGAGGCAGCAGUGGGGAAUCUUAGACAAUGGGGGAACCCUGAUCUAGCCAUGCCGCGUGGACGAUGAAGGCCUUAGGGUUGUAAAGUCCUUUCAGCUGGGAAGAUAAUGACGGUACCAGCAGAAGAAGCCCCGGCUAACUCCGUGCCAGCCGCCGCGGUAAGAC